UCAGAUUGAACGCUGCGGCAGGCCUAACACAUGCAAGUCGAACGGUAACAGGAAGAAGCUUGCUCUUGCUGACGAGUGGCGGACGGGUGAGUAAUGUCUGGGAAACUGCCUGAUGGAGGGGGAUAACUACUGGAAACGGUAGCUAAUACCGCAUAACGUCGCAAGACCAAAGAGGGGGACCUUCGGGCCUCUUGCCAUCGGAUGUGCCCAGAUGGGAUUAGCUAGUAGGUGGGGUAACGGCUCACCUAGGCGACGAUCCCUAGCUGGUCUGAGAGGAUGACCAGCCACACUGGAACUGAGACACGGUCCAGACUCCUACGGGAGGCAGCAGUGGGGAAUAUUGCACAAUGGGCGCAAGCCUGAUGCAGCCAUGCCGCGUGUAUGAAGAAGGCCUUCGGGUUGUAAAGUACUUUCAGCGGGGAGGAAGGGAGUAAAGUUAAUACCUUUGCUCAUUGACGUUACCCGCAGAAGAAGCACCGGCUAACUCCGUGCCAGCAGCCGC
rnacentral:rRNA from 1 species